GAGGAAAAGCUGCUAGAAUAAUUAUUUUUACUUUUCAUAUUCCCUCUAAUUUUUUCUUUUCCCUCGCGCCUAAAUUUUAGUACUUUAUUUACCCUAAAAACUGCAAACAAGGAAAAAAAAACUACGCUCUAAAUCACAUAAAGUAUCUUCUCAAUUUGGUGAUUCUCUGCAACCAAAAUUCUUGGCCACCGUAACAAUUGCUGAAGGAGCUAUGCGAACUAGAGGUGAAAACAGGAUGGUUAUUCAACAACAUGAUGAUGCAGAUGCGCGACCUUAUACUGAACAAUUGAUGAAUGGUCAGAAUUGAUCUCAAGUACAAACACAUGAUAUUCAAUCUAAUGAAUUGAAUAAUUCUACCGAUACUAAGGUUCAACAGAAUGAUGAAUCAGGUAAUACUUUUCGUUUAUCUACUGGACAUGUUAGUUCAUUUACUGAGUGGUACAUUGUUCUUAUUUCUAUUGUUCCUUGAGAUUUUCAAUAAAUAUUUUUAUGUUGGUCGCGUCCUGCACUCCCAUGCUCUUACUACAGAAGUAUAUACCACUUAAAAAUUUUAUUUUGCAGUAUAUUUUGCUGUCCUUGAGACUUUUUGGUGAUAACAUCUUAUAGUAGAUUAAAAGAAAAAUAGAAAAUGCUGCACUAAUUUGGAAAGCAAUUGUUCCAUUCUCUAUAUGGAUUUAAUGAUCAUUAAAUCUUUUUCAAAUCAGGUAGUUAAGAGGAAAGAAAGGUUCGUGGACCCACAAUAUUAAAAGAUAUACGAAAACUGCCACUAUGGAAUACAAUUGCUAUACAAUUCAAUAAUCGUAACUAACCCAUAAGAAAAGAGGGUCGAAAGCUUGCUAGCUUUCUAGGCAUAAUCGCUAGAACUCCAGAACUAACACCUCUGAACAUAGAUGAUUGGAGAAACUUUGCCAAAGAUGAAAAGAAGAAACUGUUGGAGUUUGUGAAGAAGAAGUUCUCUAUCCCAACUCGUGGAGAAGCAUAUGGCAUAAAGUCAACAUGAAAUAAAUGGAAAGAUUACAAAUGUGACUUGAAAAAUGUGUAUACGACAAAAUAUAAGACGAAAGAUGCUUUGCUAAGAAAUAGACCAAGUCAUAUACCACGAGAUCAAUGGACCGGUCUUCUCUCUUAUUGGUUUUCUGAUAAAGCAAAAAAGCGUACACAAGCAAAUAGAAAUAACAGAUCAAAUCAAAAGAUGCCUCACAUAGGAUGGUCAAAAAGUAUUGCCGCCUUGAUGGAUGAGAAGGUAUUCUUGUGUAUAUUUUAAAAUUUAAUUUUUCAAAACUCUCUUUGUUAUGCAUAUUUGACAUUAUUAUAUUAUAUUAGGCUGAAAAUAGGAUAGAGCUUGCAUGAGCAUACAUUUUCAUAUUAACUCAUAAACAACGUAAGGAUGGUAGGCCACUGGAUGCUGAGUCUACAAGGACAAUCGCAAGAUUUCUUCUUUUUUAUUUUCUGAAUUUUGGUUAUCUUUCCAGAAUUGGGAUUAUGAGAACUUUAUUUGCCUUUUUCUGAUACUAUCAUUUGAAAUUAUAUGUAACAAUCUAGCUAGUCACUAGAAUCAUGAACCUCAUGUCACAAAAAAAUUGCCUAAUAUUUUGAUUGCGUGAGACAUAACUAAAAGUGAAUAAUAUAAGAAAAAUAAAAUUCAGCUUUAAUUGCCUUAGUAUACUUCUCAGAUAAUAGUGAUGAAAACCUAAUAUUGAGAUAACAGCUUAGAACAUAGUGACUUAGGUCAUAUUGUCUCUUAAAAACUGCAAACUUGGGACCAAAGUGAAGGUUAUGGAGUUGUUUAAAUCCAAAUUUAUGAUAUUAAAGAGACUAAAACUUUAGUGUGUAUGGAGAUAUUAUUUUUUACACCUCCCAUAAUGUGCUAUGGUUGGCUACCUCUUAGAUAUUAUUUUGAAUUAUGACAAUCAAGAUAAAAUGGCAAGAAAAUCAUUUGAUGGAAUUAGGAUACAAUAUUUUAAUAUGUUGGAGUUUGAAUAGUUGUUUGUUUAUGGUGCACCCUGAUUACCAUUAGCCAAUGUUUUGUGUACAUCAUCUGGAGGUUCCUUUGAUUAAAAUAUGACUUUUAGGUCAUUAUGAACUAUUUCCAAUUAGAUUGUAGAGGUUGGCAGCAAUAGCAAUAAAGCUUGUCACAACAGCUUGAACAAUCAUGACCACUGUGAUUAUAUUGUCUUUACUUGAAGAUAAACCAUGGACAUCUUUGCAAAAAAUGAAUUAAAAUGCUCACCACAGAAAAAGAAUAAAGAAAUCAUUCAGAUUUCUUAUAGAGUAAAUGGAUGAGGGUAGUAAGAUAAAGGCCUUAGAGCAAUUGCACCUAGCAGCAUGUGGCUUUUAGGUAGGUGGCCAACCAACCAAGUUGAGUUCACUGGGCCUGAUCAGUCGAUAUGCUCACUGGGCCGGUAGAGGCACCCCGACUAUCUGAGUAUAACUUCAACAUUGAUGGCAUGAUCGGUGGACUAUUUGGACGGUUCUCAGCUUGUUCAAGCAUUGUCUUAUCACCGGUAGCAGCUACAUUAUCCAAAACAUCAACACAUUCAAGUUCUUGCCUCUCAUCAUGUACAACAAUAGAUUUAAAGCUUGCUGGUUUUCAACUAGUUCAGCACGUGCAACAGUUGCAUCAGUCACAGUGUUAAUCUGUCCCCGUCCAUUAUUAAGUUGCUGCACAGCUUCAUUACCUCAACAAACUUGAGUACAUCCUUGAUCUGAAACACGAUCAGUAGUAGGGUUUUUAGAAACCUACUUUUCCCCAUCGCAAACCUGAGAAACCCUAUUCAAAGCUGUAAUUUUAGAGCCUGCUGUUUUUUCAAACAAUUCAGCAGGUACAGCAGCUGGUUGAUCAUGUACAUGCACCAACUGUUGUUGAACAAUAAUCUCAUUAGGAAAUUCCAAAACCUUUGUACCAUCUGUUGCCUUAGGAUCCUUCAAAUCAACAGGUUGUUCAGUAGAUGAUUGAGCUCGAUUCCCAUUAGGAGUCGGAGCAGCAAGUACCUAUUGUCCAGCUGCAUAUAUUGAGAGUACCAUCUUUUCUCUUUCCCAUAUGUUGAUAGUUGUAUCUUAGAUUGUUCAUGUUCCUUAGUGAUCAGUUGUCCAGCUGCAUUAGUGUAUUGCUCAACAUCUAUAGUUAUAGAAGUCCUAGUUAAAUUUCUAUCAACCACAGGUAUUGUUGCAUUCUUCAAAACCUGAGAACCCCUAACUACAGCAGCAUCAACAGGGCCUGUAGAAGUACUAGAACCAGCCGUUAUACUCGAGACACCUCUCCAACAGAAUAUAAUAUAUGUCCAAGUUCUUUUCCUUUCACUCCUUCCCUUUUAUUGUUCUCUGGAACUAUUAUUGGCUUGAUAUAUGCACACAUAACAAAUGUGACUUCCAAUCUUGUAUGGCAAGGCAUAAUGUGUGGUUUGGGGUAAGAAUCUUGUGUUGCAGUCUCUGUUUCAUCACAGGUUACACGUUAUGUCUGUUAACCCAUGCCUUCACUGCUCUAUGCUCAUAUGUAAAGUGAUCAGCUACUAUAUGUGGGUUUUUCAUUACUUACUGCAAAGAUGUCGUGUGAUAAUAGACAAGGAAGCAGAAUGAGAUGCAUGUUUGUAGAGAAAAGGAUUUUACAAAUUAGCAGGUCAUCUCCUGGAAUUUCAAUUCUCACCUGAAGGAUUGACAUAAGUACUGGCUAGGUGCCUGGAUAAGGUUCUUCUCUAUCUUGACAUGCAUUUCCGCAAUACAUGAGAAACAGUUGGAGUGGUUUUCACCUUUAUUUUCCCGGAGUUCUUGCACACUUUUGAAAGCUUAAAUCUUUUUCUGAUUUGCUUGAUAUCUUGAAAAUUCAUCUCAUUUACUUCUUAUAUAUACUAUUGCAGUUUGAUUUGUUUCGGUCGGAUUUGUUAUGUCUUAUUCUAUAGAAAAAUGGAACUGUCAUUCUACAGUAAAACAACUUUAGCUUGGGGCAAUGUUUGCUCGAUAAACAUCCAGUUGAAGACUAUUAUAUUUCAUCUAUUGACGUAGUUAUUUUGUAAUUUUAGGUCACAGUCUGAUGAUCGAUAAUUUAGCCGGUGGAAGAUUUUAAAAUGAUGAAGCAUUGCAGAAAUUAUUUGAAGACUAUUAUUUGUUAGGAUUAGUUAUAUAAUGACAAUAGCUAUUUGCUUCAAAUAAUAUAAGUUUAUAUUUUAAGUUA